GAUGAACGCUGGCGGCGUGCCUAAUACAUGCAAGUCGAGCGAACAGACGAGGCGCUUGCUCCUCUGACGUUAGCGGCGGACGGGUGUGUAACACGUGUAUAACCUACCUAUAAGACUGGGAUAACCUCGGGAAACCGGAGCUAAUACCGGAGAAUAUAUUGAACCGCAGGGUUCAAUAGAGAAAGACGGCUUUGCUGUCACUUAUAGAUGGAUCCGCGCCGCAUUAGCGAGUUGGUAAGUUAACGGCCUACUAAGGCAACGAUGCGUAGCCGACCUGAGAGGGUGAUCGGCCACCCGGGAGCUGGGACACGGUCAAGACUCCUACGGGAGGCACCAGUAGCGUACCGUCCGCAGUGGGCGAAAGCCUGACGGAGCAACGCCGCGUGAGUGAUGAAGGUCUUCGGUGCGUAAAACUCUGUUAUGGGGGAAGAACAAAUGUGUAAGUAACUAUGCACGUCUUGACGGUACCUAAUCAGAAAGCCACGGCUAACUACGUG
rnacentral:rRNA from 1 species